CUGCCGUGUUGCGUAGGGCGCCUGUGCUUGAGGUUGGGGGUUGCGUCGCUCUCUGGUAAAGGCGUGCAGGUGUUGGCCGCGGCCUCUGAGCUGGGAUGAGCCGUGCUCCCGGUGGAAGCAAGGGAGCCCAGCCGGAGCCAUGGCCAGUACAGUGGUAGCAGUUGGACUGACCAUUGCUGCUGCAGGAUUUGCAGGCCGUUACGUUUUGCAAGCCAUGAAGCAUAUGGAGCCUCAAGUAAAACAAGUUUUUCAAAGCCUACCAAAAUCUGCCUUCAGUGGUGGCUAUUAUAGAGGUGGGUUUGAACCCAAAAUGACAAAACGGGAAGCAGCAUUAAUACUAGGUGUAAGCCCUACUGCCAAUAAAGGGAAAAUAAGAGAUGCUCAUCGACGAAUUAUGCUUUUAAAUCAUCCUGACAAAGGUAAGUAGUCAUUAAAUUCUCGUUGAUGUUGUUGGUGUGACCAAUAGUUAUUAAUGGGAUAAUUUUAUCUCAAAUUCCUGGCUAUUAGAAAACACUUAAAUCUGUAAGUCCUGUCUCCUAGGCUGGAGCCAUAUAUUUUUGGUGUCUUAAAAGAAAUUAAGUGAAAACUUUACUUACAGAAUGAGCAGAUGUAAGUGCUACUAUUACUAUGUUUUGUGGGUUUUUCUGGCCUACAUUUAUUAUAAUUAAAACGUUAAAUUUCGUAAAACUAAAAUGUAAUUUUUCCUUAUCCAUUUUAGAUACCUUGAAACGGAGAUUACCUAGAUAGAAACUUAUGGGAUUUAUUUAUUCGUUUCUGAUAGACUUCUAUGCAGCCUUGGCUGUGUUGAAGGAAAGCAAGAAUUUCUUUGAAUACCAAAAAAUAGACCACAGAAUUCAUGUUCUAGUGUUUGUAUCCUUUUACUUAUACAGGAGAGGGCUUUCAUUAAUAAAAAGGGUUUUGACAUUUUAAA
rnacentral:sRNA from 1 species